rnacentral:rRNA from 1 species
UUAGGGAUCUUGCGCAAUGGGCGGAAGCCUGACGCAGCGACGCCGCGUGGGGGAGGACGGCCCUCGGGUUGUAAACCCCUUUUCGCGGGGACGAGGAUGGACGGUACCCGCGGAAUAAGCACCGGCUAACUCCGUGCCAGCAGCCGCGGUAAUACGGGGGGUGCGAGCGUUGUCCGGAUUCACUGGGCGUAAAGGGCGCGUAGGCGGCUGGCUCAGUCGGGCCUGUAAGUGCGGGGCUCAACCCCGUGAUGGGCUCGGGACGGGCUGGCUGGGGCGCGGUCGAGGGAGACGGAAUGCCGGGUGUAGUGGUGAAAUGCGUAGAGAUCCGGCGGAACACCGGUGGUGAAGACGGUCUCCUGGGCCGAGGGCCGACGCUGAGGCGCGAGAGCGUGGGGAGCGAACCG